rnacentral:rRNA from 1 species
UACAGAGGGGGCAAGCGUUGUUCGGAAUUACUGGGCGUAAAGGGCGCGUAGGCGGCCUGUUAAGUCGGACGUGAAAUCCCCGGGCUCAACCCGGGAACUGCGCCCGAUACUGGCAGGCUUGAAUCCGGGAGAGGGAUGUGGAAUUCCAGGUGUAGCGGUGAAAUGCGUAGAUAUCUGGAGGAACACCGGUGGCGAAGGCGGCAUCCUGGACCGGCAUUGACGCUGAGGCGCGAAAGCCAGGGGAGCAAACGGG